rnacentral:tRNA from 1 species
CCCUGGAAAUUCAGAUGGUAAAGAAUCUUGCCUGCAGUGCAGGAGACCCAGGUUCAACCCCUGGGUCAGGAA